ensembl:lncRNA
UUUAUUAACAGGAAGAUUUAUUAAACUGCUUCCUAACAGGAAGGCGAAUUAACAUUUAUGGUGCAUCGGUAAAACCGCCAGACACAUAGUAUAGCAGUUCCACUUUCAAAACAAAGUUGGGGUGGGGGGCAUCUGCCAGCGCAUAAUUCCUGAACCAUGCAGAGGAAAUUGCCCUUUCAUGGUGGUGGAAGGGGCGUGGGUAUACACUUCGUAUAUCCCUUUUAGUGAAAGUCUCAAAAAUCAGAUGAGAUAAUUAUAAUGGCAACAAUACAUAUUCUCUGACAGCCAAGUUCUCCCAGCAGUUUUGAAUUGUGGAACACGCACUGAAGCAGCUGUCUAAAUGCCAAAGUUGUGAACAGGCAAAACCAAACCCAGGAAACUACAAUCUUAUUCUCCACUUUUGAGGAUAAGGCUAUUACUUAACAACUUUAACAAGGUGUGCAUGUUGUAGGGGAUCAGAAAUAGUUUUCAGCGUGUUUUAUUCUUGGGAACAAUUUUGGAGAGCAGCACUCGCUCCAACCGCCGGGCCAUCAGCGCCGCGUGGAGAACUUUGAGCAACUCCAGGCCGGCGGGGCGGCGGGGCGGCGUUCCGGGAGAUAGGGGGAUGAGGGGAAAACCGGGUUCGAGUCCCGGUUGCAGCUCGAGAGUCCCCAACCCGGGCCGGCUGCUACGGUGGGCAGGUCACCCAGGCCAGCUCGUCCUCGGACCCCGAAGGGUCGCGAGUGUGUAGGGAGCUGGCCUUAGCUCACCGCGCCGAGGAGGAAGUCGCACUUACCGAGGAGGGUCAGGAGGGAGGCCCGGGGUCACCGUGGCGCGGGGCGGCGGGAGGGGAGGCUGCGCGGGGCGCGGGCGGGCACGCACAGCGGAGGGAUGCUCGGCCCCGCGCGCGCCCCCAGCCCCUUCCCCACAGUGUCGCCCCGCGCAGCGGCCCUCCCGGGCCGAGCCACUCCUCUCCGUCAGGCGACGCCAGGCCAGGAGUCAAACUUGUCCCGCAGCCCCUGAGGGGGCGGGCGGGCACGCGCGCGACACUGAGUGGGGGUCGGACACACGGUUAGUCCCGGCGCGGCCGCCCCGCCCCACGACAGCAGACCCUGCCCACCACUGAGUCCCGCCCGCUCCGCCCAGGGUGCUAAGCUCCGCCCCCUCGCAGCAGGGCCCAAAAGACCGAGAAUUCCGUUCUUUUAAAAGGGUACAGGUCCGGGUUGGGAGAGCCAGGGCACCAGCUUACAGGGGAAAAUCUGCAAAAGUCUGCCUUGAUCAGCGCCGGAAACCUUUCUUCUUGCAGAAGUCUGAUAAGUGUGCUGAGAAGUGGAUUUGUACCAUUGAAGUUAUGAUGUGAAGACUCCGCGGUUGUUUUACAAUGGUGGGAUAUAAUUUACUCCGGUAUAAAACAUGUAACUCCUCCAUGCUCCGGGCUGAAAAAAAGCAAUAAUCUAUUCAAUACCUGUGCAUCAAGCACUAAUCUGUGACACUUUGUUAACCUCAUCCAUAAGAAGCAGCUAUGAUCCCUGGGUAGAAAGAAGGAAGGAGGGG